UACAGAGGGUGCAAGCGUUGUUCGGAAUUAUUGGGCGUAAAGGGCGCGUAGGCGGUGCGGUAAGUCUGUAGUGAAAUCUCUGGGCUUAACUCAGAGGCUGCUUCCGAAACUACCGUGCUAGAGUGCGAGAGAGGCAAGUGGAAUUGCGGGGUGUAGCGGUGAAAUGCGUAGAUAUCCGCAGGAACAUCCGAGGCGAAAGCGGCUUGCUGGAUCGCAACUGACGCUGAGGGACGAAAGCUAGGGGAGCAAACAGG
rnacentral:rRNA from 1 species